UUUGCUUUUGAUUUUUCAAGUCAAAAAAUCAAUUUUUUGAUCGUUACUUAUCAUAGCCAACCAUUAUUUUUGACCUCUUCACUCACAGGUGGACCCCACAUUUCAAGCUAACGCUCAAAAUAUCAAUUCUCAUAAUACAAACAACGGACGAAACAGAGAGAUGAAAGGAAGAAGAAAAUAUUCAUCAGCAAUUAAAAAAAUAGAAAUAGAAAAAGGAAGAGAUAGAUAUCCGUGUCAAUCUUCGUCUGGGAGAUACUUCAUUUGCUUGCUGGAAAUUUUUUCACUUUGUUGGCGGCGAGACAGGCAAGAAGAUCUUAAAUUCAAGAACAUGUUAGGGUUUAUAUGUCAAUAAAUAAGUACACCAGGAAAUUGAGA
rnacentral:lncRNA from 1 species